AUUGAACGCUGGCGGCAGGCUUAACACAUGCAAGUCGAGCGGAGAGAGGUAGCUUGCUACCGAUCUUAGCGGCGGACGGGUGAGUAAUGCUUAGGAAUCUGCCUAUUAGUGGGGGACAACAUUUCGAAAGGAAUGCUAAUACCGCAUACGUCCUACGGGAGAAAGCAGGGGAUCUUCGGACCUUGCGCUAAUAGAUGAGCCUAAGUCGGAUUAGCUAGUUGGUGGGGUAAAGGCCUACCAAGGCGACGAUCUGUAGCGGGUCUGAGAGGAUGAGCCGCCACACUGGGACUGAGACACGGUCCAGACUCCUACGGGAGGCAGCAGUGGGGAAUAUUGGACAAUGGGCGGAAGCCUGAUCCAGCCAUGCCGCGUGUGUGAAGAAGGCCUUAUGGUUGUAAAGCACUUUAAGCGAGGAGGAGGCUACUUUAGUUAAUACCUAGAGAUAGUGGACGUUACUCGCAGAAUAAGCACCGGCUAACUCUGUGCCAGCAGCCGCAGUAAAAC
rnacentral:rRNA from 1 species